rnacentral:rRNA from 1 species
GACGAACGCUGGCGGCGUGCCUAAUACAUGCAAGUAGAACGCUGAAGGAAGGAGCUUGCUCUUUCCGGAUGAGUUGCGAACGGGUGAGUAACGCGUAGGUAACCUGCCUGGUAGCGGGGGAUAACUAUUGGAAACGAUAGCUAAUACCGCAUAACAGUAGAUAUCGCAUGAUAUGUGCUUGAAAGAUGCAAUUGCAUCACUACCAGAUGGACCUGCGUUGUAUUAGCUAGUUGGUGAGGUAACGGCUCACCAAGGCAACGAUACAUAGCCGACCUGAGAGGGUGAUCGGCCACACUGGGACUGAGACACGGCCCAGACUCCUACGGGAGGCAGCAGUAGGGAAUCUUCGGCAAUGGACGGAAGUCUGACCGAGCAACGCCGCGUGAGUGAAGAAGGUUUUCGGAUCGUAAAGCUCUGUUGUAAGAGAAGAACGAGUGUGAGAAGUGGAAAGUUUCACACUGUGACUGG